UACGGGGGGGGCAAGCGUUGUUCGGAAUACUGGGCGUUAAAGGGCGCGUAGGCGGGCUCGCAAGUCAGGGGUGAAAGCCCACGGCUCAACCGUGGAAGUGCCUUUGAUACUGCGGGCCUUGAGGGAGGUAGGGGCGUGCGGAACUCCGGUGGAGCGGUGAAAUGCGUAGAUAUCGGAAGGAACACCGGUGGCGAAAGCGGCGCGCUGGACCUCUUCUGACGCUGAGGCGCGAAAGCCAGGGGAGCAAAGCGGG
rnacentral:rRNA from 1 species